AGAGAGAACCAUGAGGAGGUGCAGAGGUGUGGGUAGGACCUGGAGAAAGAAUAUUUGCUGACAAGGUUGCUUCCAUGGUGGACCUCAGCUCUACGUUCUCCAUCACAUCUCGGAGGGUUUCUGUUACUUCCCACCAACCUCAUGUCCCACCUAUUUCCUGAGCUGGGCCAGGACGAGUUUGUGUUCCAGGAACAGCCGACAUGCAGCACUGUGGAUGGACUGCUGGCACAGAAAUACAUGCCUGAGUCCUUGAGCUCCGUGGACUGGAUCUUCAUGCUACAGUGUGAGUUUUGGGUACAUUGAGCUGAAAAUCGCCCAUCAGGCAAUCCUGAUUUAUCAAGAGCUUCUUUAUUCUGCAACUGUCUUGGAGUCUGGGUGACCUCAGUGUCCAUGGAGCCUGGGGAGGAAGGAGACAGAAGCUGGAGAACAGCCCAGGAGGAGCCUGUUAUUACAGCCCCAGGAGGAAGCCCUGACCCUGGAGUCCAACAAGGUCAACA